rnacentral:rRNA from 1 species
UCCUACGGGGGGCAGCAGUGGGGAAUAUUGCGCAAUGGAGGAAACUCUGACGCAGCAACGCCGCGUGAAGGAUGAAGGCUUUCGGGUUGUAAACUUCUUUGAUCGGGGACGAAAAUGACGGUACCCGAGGAACAAGCCACGGCUAACUACGUGCCAGCAGCCGCGGUAAUACGUAGGUGGCAAGCGUUGUCCGGAAUUACUGGGCGUAAAGGGCGUGUAGGCGGGGGAGCAAGUCAGAUGUGAAAUCCCAUGGCUUAACUGUGGAGCUGCAUCUGAAACUGCUUCUCUUGAGUACUGGAGAGGAAAGUGGAAUUCCAAGUGUAGCGGUGAAAUGCGUAGAGAUUUGGAGGAACACCAGUGGCGAAGGCGGCUUUCUGGACAGUAACUGACGCUGAGGCGCGAAAGCGUGGGGAGCAAACAGGAUUAGAUACCCGAGUAA